rnacentral:rRNA from 1 species
GACGAACGCUGGCGGCGUGCUUAACACAUGCAAGUCGAACGGAAAGGCCCUGCUUUUGUUGGGUGCUCGAGUGGCGAACGGGUGAGUAACACGUGAGUAACCUGCCCUUGACUUUGGGAUAACUUCAGGAAACUGGGGCUAAUACCGGAUAGGAGCUCCUGCUGCAUGGUGGGGGUUGGAAAGUUUCGGCGGUUGGGGAUGGACUCGCGGCUUAUCAGCUUGUUUGUGUGGUAGUGGCUUACCAAGGCUUUGACGGGUAGCCGGCCUGGGAGGGUGACCGGCCACAUUGGGACUGCGGUACGGCCCAGACUCCUACGGGAGGCAGCAGUGGGGAAUAUUGCAGAAUGGGGGGAAGCCUGAUACAGCAACGCCGCGUGCGGGAUGACGGCCUUCGGGUUGUAAACAGAUUUCGCCUGUGACGAAGCGUGAGUGACGGUAAUGAGUAAAAAAGCACCGGCUAACUACGUG